GAUGAACGCUGGCGGCGUGCCUAAUACAUGCAAGUCGAGCGAACAGACGAGGAGCUUGCUCCUCUGAUGUUAGCGGCGGACGGGUGAGUAACACGUGGAUAACCUACCUAUAAGACUGGGAUAACUUCGGGAAACCGGAGCUAAUACCGGAUAACAUGUUGAACCGCAUGGUUCAACAGUGAAAGACGGUCUUGCUGUCACUUAUAGAUGGAUCCGCGCCGCAUUAGCUAGUUGGUAAGGUAACGGCUUACCAAGGCAACGAUGCGUAGCCGACCUGAGAGGGUGAUCGGCCACACUGGAACUGAGACACGGUCCAGACUCCUACGGGAGGCAGCAGUAGGGAAUCUUCCGCAAUGGGCGAAAGCCUGACGGAGCAACGCCGCGUGAGUGAAGAAGGUCUUCGGAUCGUAAAACUCUGUUAUUAGGGAAGAACAAAUGUGUAAGUAACUAUGCACGUCUGACGG
rnacentral:rRNA from 1 species